rnacentral:lncRNA from 1 species
CGGCUACUCUGAUUGAACCAAUGUGAUUCAGCUGUGCAGGGAGUUAAUGGAGGUCAGAAAGGCAUCGUUUGAACACUAAAAAGUCUAGUUCACUAGUGUAAAACCCUCAUUAAGUGUGUGUCCUACUGAGCAGAGGUGAAACAUGUACGGACGGGCUCCCAGAGUCACAUUCCCCGCAGUCAGCGGGACACCGUCGGUGGUUGGACCGGGUUCUUAUGAAGUCAGCCACCGUUGCAUCAGAACAGCAGAUGGUUUUGCUCCAUUCUUGUCCCUGACCAACAGGAAGUCCAUAUUCACAAGCCCCGAUGAAACCAGACCAGGACCUGGACAUUAUGAGUUAUCACCCAUUAAGAUCACUCAACAAACUGGGUCACCAAAACACAAACGGUGGGACAAGCUGUUGCCAGUUGCAAUGUUUGGUCUGCAAACCAAAAAACAAAUAAUAUUCGAC